rnacentral:rRNA from 1 species
UACGGGGGGGGCAAGCGUUGUUCGGAAUUACUGGGCGUAAAGGGCGCGUAGGCGGUUUGCUAAGUUGAAUGUGAAAACUCUGGGCUUAACCCAGAGCCUGCAUUCAAUACUGGCAGGCUGGAGUUCUGGAGGGGAUAGCGGAAUUCCUGGUGUAGCGGUGAAAUGCGUAGAGAUCUGGAAGAACACCAAAGGCGAAGGCAGCAUCCUGGGAAGUGCCUGACGCUCAUGUGCGAAAGCUAGGGGAGCGAACGGG